CCUGGUAAAAGCGACGGAAGUCGCCGCCGACCCGCUGCGCGAGCUUCUGGAAAAGCAUCUCGCCAGCGGCAAGAGCGGCAUCGAGGAGACCGGCGGCGGGCAGGUCUUCAUCACCGUGCAUGUGCCGUCGCCGCGGCUUGUCAUCACCGGUGCGGUGC
rnacentral:misc_RNA from 1 species